CCAAUCGCACACUCGCAUAGGUAUUUGUCGACCGUCAGGUUUUCGCCAUUUACCGUUGCUGUGCUACACCAUCGCCUCUUCAUUCUAGCUCGGAAAAUGCUUGGUUUUUGGGCAGGUCAUCGCAAUUUUGAAAUGAGAGCUGCACUAGCAAGUGAAUGAGAGAAUGACACAGAACUUGAUAUCCAGAACAACAGAAUAACUAGAGGCACUGGACAUUUGGUAUACCUACGGAAAUUCUAUACCACGAAGUUCUGCAUAUGCCCGGUGGUUCACAAGUCAAUAGUGAUCGCAUAGCAGACUCUAUACAUUACGGAUGUGUACCUGAUUGAUUAGCAAUGUUUGGUGGUGAACUAUUGUCCCAGGAAGGCCUCUCAUGAGAAGGAAUUGCUUCAGCUAAGGAAGGAAGGCAGAAGAAAUCAAUAUGAGCAACAUAAACUACAAGCUUUAAAUCAGCACCAGAAAAUGGUAAAGAUUUCUUUCGUACAAGUGCUUCAGUAAAAUUAUGUAGGGCCUUUCUAUUUUUAUUUUUAUUUUUAUUAUCUGUGUCUGUACACAUCACUAACUUCAUUGAACAGUAAGCCCCGGUAGCUGAUAUGCUUUGAGACUCACUUUUUAUUUCCUUAAUUAUUCUACAUUUGGAUAAUGCAUAUGAAUUAUCAGGUAAGUUUCUAGAGCCUUUGUCAGGUUUGAAGGGCGUUACGGUUUACAGGAAAUAAUUUCUCAUUAUGUUUAGUCCAAUGUUGAUGAUUGAAAUGCUUAACCAAACCCUCUCCAUCUGCUUAAGCUUUUAGAUUAGUUGUCUAACAGCAUUGCAUUUGGAUCAUCUCACCUCCUACCCUCAAACAUAGAUACAAGUACAAGAGAGUACUAGAUUUCUGCUUGCAUAACAGGUGAGGGAAACAUUUCUUGUACAUUACUGUCAGUUGAAUUGUACAAGAAAGUGCUAGUUUUGAUUUUUGAUGAAACUGGUUUUCACUGGACAAGUCCAAUCAGUACACACACACACACACAUAUAUAUAUAGUCGAGACGUGUGAAAUUGAGAUUAAUUUCUAUUCAUUAAGCUAACCCUUAUAUAUAACCUUAGGUGUGUUGCUGCUAUUGCCCAUAAGCACUACACAUUUCACACAAGAGAGCAAGAGAGAGAGAGAGAGAGAGAGAGAGAGAGAGAGAGACAGCAAUAUGUCAAUGGAGGUGUAUAAGAGAGAAAAUGUACAGGAAAUGUUGUCACCGCUCUUGUCUUUGCUCCUUUUGCUCUCCUCUUUGAAAGGUAUUCCCCUUACACCCCCCCUCUCUCUCUCUCUCUGUUCUUUGCUCUAUGAGAGAAGGUUUUAAACUAAUCAGACUAUGUUAUUGACUAUAACAAAUGUACAGGAAAGUAAGGCCAAGGAUGACCACUUCUGUCUUCUUGAAGAUAAUGUUACUGGGCUUGUUGGAGUAAUUAAUUUAUCUUUUCACCUCAAAAAGCAAAUCCUUAUAAAUUAAUUUAAUUAUGCUUUAAAGGUGAAUCUAAUGCAUGUAUGUAAUGUUUUUACUCUUAUUUUUGUGUAAUUGUAAUCAGGCUUAUGAUAGACCAGAACUUGUUCUAUACUGGAAUGAAGUACACAACAGCUACUUUUGCCACUGCCAUGUGUAACAUUGUUCCUACCAUGUUUUUGCUAAUGGCUUGGAUACUCAGCUAAAACUACCCUAUCAAAUUGUGGCUAUUGUUUUCGGUGCUUUGAAUGAUACAGCUGCAAAGAAGUAUGAUUUGGAAGGAUGGUUUCCUGCAUCGAGCACUUACAGAGAACUUGUUUCCUAUUCAAACUGCACUGACUAUCAGUCCAGGAGAUUAGAGAUUCGAUAUGCGUAGAAAAAGGGUAGACUAGUAGUUAUAUUUUUUGAUACACUAGUUAUAUUUUUGGAUGGGUGUGUAUAGAAAAUAUUUAGUAGACUACUAGUCAUAUUUUUCGGUUGAUGUACAUGGAUAAAAAUUUUAAACAUAAUAGCAAGUAUUUGUUAUGUCUUAAAUUUUUAUGUUAGAUGA